rnacentral:rRNA from 1 species
UACAGAGGGUGCAAGCGUUAAUCGGAAUUACUGGGCGUAAAGCGCGCGCAGGCGGUCUUCCAAGUCAGUGGUGAAAGCCUGGAGCUCAACUCCAGAACUGCCAUUGAAACUGUUAGACUUGAGUACGAGAGAGGUGAGUGGAAUUCCCAGUGUAGAGGUGAAAUUCGUAGAUAUUGGGAAGAACACCAGUGGCGAAGGCGGCUCACUGGCUCGUAACUGACGCUCAGGCGCGACAGCGUGGGGAUCAAACAGG